rnacentral:rRNA from 1 species
UACGAAGGGGGCUAGCGUUGUUCGGAUUUACUGGGCGUAAAGCGCACGUAGGCGGAUCGUUAAGUUGAGGGUGAAAUCCUGGAGCUCAACUCCAGAACUGCCUUCAAUACUGGCGAUCUAGAGUCCGGAAGAGGUGAGUGGAACUCCUAGUGUAGAGGUGGAAUUCGUAGAUAUUAGGAAGAACACCAGUGGCGAAGGCGGCUCACUGGUCCGGUACUGACGCUGAGGUGCGAAAGCGUGGGGAGCAAACAGG